rnacentral:tRNA from 1 species
GGAGAGAUGGCUCAGUGGUUAAGAGCACUGGCUGCUCUUCCAGAGGCCCUGGGUUCAAUUCCCAGCACCUACA